rnacentral:lncRNA from 1 species
AUUUCCUCUCCUGCCAAGGAAGCUCCAUGCCCAGUAACUAACCUUACCUAUUCCUGGACAUCAUUUGUAAGCUUUUGGCUUCCUGUGGGGAGAAUACUAAUUUUGGAUAGCAUCCUCUGGAAACUAGAGGGUGAGUACCCUACAGUUAUUCUCUGUUUUAAAAAUAAAUCAUUGCCUACCCCUGCUUGCACCCAGGCAAUCUUGUAAGUCUUAUAGCCUCUGCAAUAGAGGGGCCAACUUGAAGAUAGCAGCCCCAGAAAAGUACCGGGUGUAUUUUUGUGAAUUCUUCUCUCUUUUGGAGGUAGGUGCAUGCCUUGUAGCUAGGGUUAGUGAGCUUGAGAUGCUUUUCAGUGUGUAGGCUUUAAACAAGGUCAAACUGAGAUCAUUGAGGAAUCUUUAUGUUACCCACAAACUAAAGCAUAGUGAUAGCCUAUCUGUGUAUUUAUAUACCAGUGUUGUAUGAUUAAAAGAAAGGUGUAAUAGCAUUUUCUCUAGUCUAAGGGGAAGUUUUGUUUUCUACCAUUGGAAAAUCCUCAUUGGUACAGGAAGCAAGAUUUGGACUUUGCUUUGUUAGAAAAACAUGUUUUAAUGCAUUCUGAGUAAUUUCCAUUGGUAAAAAUGAUGCUAUUAAAAGAAGGGCAAAUAAUGUUUUGUGGAGCUCCAUUACCUCUUGGGGAAAUUUCUCUCUUUCCAUUAACUUAAGAAAACAUAAAAGUAGAAAAUGUUGCAGUUGUUUGUGGUGAAUUGUUGGAUUACUGUGAGUUCAGAGGCUGGCUGUACCUCUUAAUAACUACUGUCUAGUCUCUGCUGAUUUGUUGAUAUAUCACCAUGCUGUGGUGACUCUAAAGUACAGAGAUGUGGUCUGAAGAGAAUCAACAAAUGAAAUCUGGAGAACAGAAAUGGAUCGAGCAGUGCAGUCAUACCUUGGAGUGGCUGUGUGCUCCCUGAGCUCCCAGUCCCAUUGGAGAGAAAUGGAAGUAGAUAGGACAACUCAGCGCAUUGUGGGACAUUUUCACAAAAAUUACAGUCAGAUAGUUGCAAGUGCAAUGCUGGUCCAUGACCUGGAGCUGUUGGGGGUGACAUCUUUCAUCAACACUCUGGUCACAGUCAGACAAGGUAAGACAAUGACAGAGGGACAGUCAGGAGUAGCAGGGGACAGGGCUGCCUACAGGAUUACUCACACUAUACUUCAGGAUAGGACUGUGGGCCAGAUCCUGAACUUAGCUGAAUCUUGAGGCUUAAGGGGAGAGGGUGAAGCUGGUAUACAUCCCUGGCCUUGGAGGAUUACCCAUGGCGUCUGGGAGGGUGUCUCCUGGGAUCUGAACAGUAAUAUAUAUAUAUAUUUAAGUGUUCUAGAAAAGGUGUGAACACUCAGAUGAAAAUGUUUUGUUUUGUUUUGUUUUGUUUUUUGUAAUAGAAUACAAUAUUAAUCGUAGCAUGGAGGACAGUUGACUGUGAAAAAUUGAAAAUAAGCCCUGCGAAG